UUGCGGGUUGCGCCUUAAUAUAAUACGAAUGUGUUAUUACGACGAUAUGCGCCUCCCUAUGCCUGAGUCAGAAGAGCUUUGUCGGAUAGAGAGAAGGAGAGUUGUCGAAUUGCCAAGCAAGAGCGUCUACACAGGGCGAGGGGUUGACAGGUGUGACGAAGCUCGCCGUUUGUGUUCCAGUCUGUCUGUCUGUCUAUCUAUCUAUAGAAUACCACGAUCCGAUAUCUGUCUGGGUGUCCUUUCGCUGAGUUGUCGGCAGGUAGAAGAAAGCUAUAUGAAGGGCUACGCAGUCGGCGCAUUGAUGGGGAUCACCUCAAAGGCCACAGUGGAAACACCAUUGUCUAUCGCACCGUUUCCAAAGUCGUGUAUCGUCAAUAACGAGGAACUAUCGCAUUAUCGUGCUCCUUCUGCUAGUGUGCUGACGUAUUCGUGCGACUGGGCGCUUUUUACUGGUAUCGCUAAUACAAACGACACUUGUAAACAAUUAAUUCUAGGUGGGGUUCGAGCGCGGAUGCGACGUCUUCAGCGAACACCCAAAAUACAAUGGGGGCUACUUGAUGAGACAGAUCGUUGAAGUGUCGGUUCGAACUGGGCCCGUUGCUGCCGUUUACCUAGUGAACAUUUCAUGCAACGAGCAGCAGCUUUACUAUACCUUAACCUGGGCUGACGAGAAAUCGACAUAAGGCUGAUCCGCGAACGCUAGUUGAAGUUUGUUGUCGAUGAUAUCCAGAUACAAGACGGUUCUCAUAAAGACAUCAGUGUAUUCGAUUCGGGCCUCACCUGCACCCGCUACACGGAAUAAGUCGUACAGGCUGCCUGUUACCUAUAUACAACCCAGCAGAAUCGAACAUAGAUGGUUGACAGAAAUAAAUGUCUACUUAAGUAUUGUUCACACCGAUUAUGAGGUCACGUAACGUUGGCGGGACUUGAACCAGAUAUCAUCAUUAAUAAACCAUCAUUACAACAAUUGUUUCUUAUAACGAUUAAACCAUAUAUGCUAACGGAGCGUUUUACGACUGCUUUUUUCCUUUCGAUCGUAUCUCUCUCUGUUCGCGUCCCUGAUCUGUGGUAUUGUCAACGAUGUCAUACUACGUUUGCAAUACUGUUUACUAUUGUCUUUUAUGGUUU